AAAUAGUUUUUAGUGACCGGUUAUAUUCAAGGUUAUAUUUUGCGGCCUCUUGUGAUAAGAAUGGCCCGUACAAUCAACCCUUUGCUUUAUCGCAUUUGAAAGAAGUUGAUAAUGUGGGACAAAUGAAACUAAUUCGGAUAUACGCAUAAGUUUAAGACAAACAGGCUAACAUGGCGGAUGAUGAUGUGCAGAUCACACCCUCGCCUGGAGAGAAGCUGGCGUACAAAUUCGUCUUGUCGGCCGUGUCAGCAAUGGUUGCAGAAUCUGUGACGUAUCCUCUGGACCUCACGCGGACGAGACUUCAAAUACAAGGGGAGGUAAAUGUGACUGGAACAACAGUAUCACAUUCCAAGAGAGGAAUGUUUAAAAUAAUGCAAGGCAUCGGUAAGUUGAAUGAU